GUCCCCGUAGAUUAGUGGUUAGAUCACCACGUUGUGGUAGAGCAAUUUGCCGAGCAUAACCGUGGUAACCCAGGCUCGAAUCCUGGCAGGGACA